AAAACAAUUGCCCAGUUCACCGAACGGCGAGUUAAGCCAAACGACCGAAAGUAUAUUGAUGGUGGAAUAUUUUUGAGCUAAUGGAUAUUGAGCUGAGUUAGAAUACUUCGUCCUGUAAAAAAAAAAAAUCACUGAAGAUACAGCGUAAGUUCAUUAUCUGGGCACUCCAGCAAAACCUUCAUUGCCUUGGCAGCCCAGCCAUAUAAUCUAAUCUCACAAAAACUUCUCUUCGCUGGCGUUUCCUAGGCUUCGGAAUUCCGUUCGUUCGUGGCAGUCAUGUUCACCUGCGGUUACAAGCCAUUAGAACAGAAGAUGUAAUCCUCCUUCAAAGUUCAAAUGUUGUAGAGCAAUUCCGGCAUGGAAACUUCAUCUUCUUCUACCGGGUCCAUGCGCACCUGAAACGUAGAAUUCUGAAAAUUAAGAUUUGCGCCGAAUGCGCGUAAAAAAAUCGACCCCAAUGUCACAGACGCUCAUCACUUGUGGAAAUGUAUGAUCUUCGAAAUGUGAACUUAAGUUUGGAUACAGCUGGCCGAAAGCAACUACAGAAGUGCAACUACAGAAUUAUUCUCAAAAAGUGCAACUACAGAAUUAUUUGAAACAACAUUUUGCAUCAAGUUCAAAAAUUCAGA